rnacentral:rRNA from 1 species
UACGAAGGGGGCUAGCGUUGUUCGGAAUUACUGGGCGUAAAGCGCGCGCAGGCGGUCUUCCAAGUCAGUGGUGAAAGCCCGGAGCUCAACUCCGGAACUGCCAUUGAAACUGUUAGACUUGAGGAUGAGAGAGGUGAGUGGAAUUCCCAGUGUAGAGGUGAAAUUCGUAGAUAUCGGGAGGAACACCGGUGGCGAAGGCGGUUCUCUGGGCCUUACCUGACGCUGAGGAGCGAGAGCGUGGGGAGCGAACAGG